CCUACGGGAGGCAGCAGUGAGGAAUAUUGGUCAAUGGGCGAGAGCCUGAACCAGCCACGCCGCGUGAAGGAUUAAGGAUCUAUGGUUUGUAAACUUCUUUUAUAUGGGAAUAAAGUGAGGAACGUGUUCCUUUUUGUAUGUACCAUAUGAAUAAGCAUCGGCUAACUCCGUGCCAGCAGCCGCGGUAAUACGGAGGAUGCGAGCGUUAUCCGGAUUUAUUGGGUUUAAAGGGUGCGUAGGUGGUUAAUUAAGUCAGCGGUGAAAGUUUGUGGCUCAACCAUAAAAUUGCCGUUGAUACUGGUUGACUUGAGUAUAUUGGAGGUAGGCGGAAUGCGUGGUGUAGCAGUGAAAUGCAUAGAUAUCGCGCAGAACUCCGAUUGCGAAGGCAGCUUACUAAACUAUAACUGACACUGAGGCACGAAAGCGUGGGGAGCAAACAGGAUUAGAUACCCGAGUAGUC
rnacentral:rRNA from 1 species